UGGGGAAUAUUGCACAAUGGGGGAAACCCUGAUGCAGCGACGCCGCGUGAGCGAAGAAGGCUUUCGAGUCGUAAAGCUCUGUCCUAUGAGAAGAUAAUGACGGUAUCAUAGGAGGAAGCCCUGGCUAAAUACGUGCCAGCAGCCGCGGUAAUACGUAUGGGGCGAGCGUUGUCCGGAAUUAUUGGGCGUAAAGGGUACGUAGGCGGUUUUUUAAGUCAGGUGUCAAAGCGUGGAGCUUAACUCCAUUAAGCACUUGAAACUGAAAGACUGGAGUGAAGGAGAGGAAAGUGGAAUUCCUAGUGUAGCGGUGAAAUGCGUAGAUAUUAGGAGGAAUACCGGUGGCGAAGGCGACUUUCUGGACUUUUACUGACGCUCAGGUACGAAAGCGUGGGGAGCAAACAGG
rnacentral:rRNA from 1 species